rnacentral:Y_RNA from 1 species
GGCUGGUCCACGUGCAGCGGUGUUUACAACUGGUUGAGACUAACUAGUUACACAUUUCUUGUUGAUUUUUUUUUUGUAACAUUCCUGCUGCUUCAUUUGACUAGCCUUAA